GGGGAGUACGCCGGCAACGGUGAAACUCAAAGGAAUUGACGGGGGCCCGCACAAGCGGAGGAACAUGUGGUUUAAUUCGAUGAUACGCGAGGAACCUUACCCGGGCUUGAAUUGCAACUGAAUGAUGUGGAGACAUGUCAGCCGCAAGGCAGUUGUGAAGGUGCUGCAUGGUUGUCGUCAGCUCGUGCCGUGAGGUGUCGGCUUAAGUGCCAUAACGAGCGCAACCCUUAUCGAUAGUUACCAUCAGGUUAUGCUGGGGACUCUGUCGAGACUGCCGUCGUAAGAUGUGAGGAAGGUGGGGAUGACGUCAAAUCAGCACGGCCCUUACGUCCGGGGCUACACACGUGUUACAAUGGGGGGUACAGAAGGCAGCUACACGGCGACGUGAUGCUAAUCCCGAAAGCCUCUCUCAGUUCGGAUUGGAGUCUGCAACCCGACUCCAUGAAGCUGGAUUCGCUAGUAAUCGCGCAUCAGCCACGGCGCGGUGAAUACGUUCCCGGGCCUUGACAC
rnacentral:rRNA from 1 species